GGAGCUGUCUGAACACCCCUGGGCAGCGGGAAGCCAAAGGCUGUCACCCAGACAGCCAAGUCCAGCCAUUGUGCAAAGUCCCAGUAGGGCUCAAAGCUUACCUAAAAGUCUCAGUAUUUCGUCCCCUCCCUUGCUCUGAGACACAAAGAAAUUAUAAAGCUGGAGACCAAACUGGAAGAUUUCUUUCCGCAGUGACAUUCCAACUGCACACGGAAGGCUUGAGUGAGCUACUGAGAAGACAGAGAUGAUAAAAUGUAUCUAGCAAGAAGCUGCUAACUUAUCUCUGCAGACAAGAUAUUUCUGAAAGAAAGGCAGGAGAUUUCUGCCUCCAACUAUUCAGCCGUGUCCAACUCCAAGACUGAAAGGAGCUGUGUAAUGAAUGCAAAGUUGAAGAGAGCUGGAGAAAUGUGCUUGACUGUAUCCCAAGAAAAGAUCAGAGCAAAGAUCCCUGACACACCACCUCCUCCCAGUCCAUGCCAUGCUGCCCUGGAAAAAGUCUCCCAGACUAUGCAGAUCACAACCUGGACUCUACCUCAGUGAUGACCUGAAUGAUCUACAAGAAGAGGUGAGAGAAGCCUUGAAGAGGAAGCUUCAGAUUAAGGAUGGAAGCCAAAUUCUCUCUUUUCCUUCUGCUGGAGCUGACUGCUCCUCCUGGGCAAGACUGCAGGAUUUGCCCCUUAACUUUGUAAUGUACUUAAUUAACUUUUAACAGUGUUAAGUGAUUAUUCUUGGUUUGGAAGUGUAGAUUUUUUGCAUUUUUUUAUCUUUUUUUCCAACUGUUAACAUUGCACUGCAUGAUACACUUAGACAUGGCAUUGCCUUCCCAGUCCAGAGCAGCCAAACCAAAGAGCUGCUCAUGAGUGAGCCCCUUUAGCUUCCCUGCAUAACCUUCCAAGCCAAGAGCCAUAUCCUUAGAUUUUAUACAUGUUCACCAGUACAUUUCAUUCAUGUUUUCUUUAAAAUUUUCAAGAAGUUACUUCAGUUAUUUAGUUCUGAAAUUUCAGGUGCACCAUCUCAUUUUUAGCCCCUGAAAAGCCUCUCUGAAAUUGUGCCUCCUCUACUUUGGAAACCAGUUCAGGGACUCUUAUCACUCAUUCUUGCCACUCAGUAUUCCCUCUACUCUUCCCUUGACAAGGCAGAUAAAUUGAUAUUAAUGCUACAUGAGGGAGGUCAAGGGCACAUCAGAGUGGCCAGAUUUGCCUGAAUGCAAUUUUUCUACUACUGGCUUUCCACAGAAGGUGCUGUUAAAAUCUGUGGGCUUUCCAUUAAUUCUGUGAGGAGGAGUGCAAGUUUCCUUCCUUCACUAAAUUUUAUUGAAUAAACAAGCCACCUACAAAGUUUCAUGACCUUUUACAAUAUGUUCAGAUACAUCUAAAAUAUAGCUAUUGCUUGAUGAGCUGUACUGACUUGAAUUCAAGUUUUUUGACUACUAUUCGUGCAGAAAUAAAUGUAGUUGAUUUGUUUCUUCCACUGCACUAGACCCAUUCCAAAUCCUAUGAGACCAAACAGAUUUUUUUUUCUAAUUUUUGGGACAUGGCUCACAUCCAGCUUCAGUGACACACAAAGGAUUUCACUAAUUUUCACAGUUUUGAAAAAUAACCACAGUCACAAGUAGUGGCACCUCCUUUAAACCUGAAUUUUCUUGGUGAUGAAGAAGAUUAAGAGUAGAUGUUGAAUGAGUACUGCCUAUCUGCAGCUCACUUCUCACAAGUGCAGAAACAACAGCAAUGGCAUCUAUUUUCUGAGAAUUUUACCCUGCAGCAGCUGGAGAUAACUUAUCAGAAUAAACACUGAUGGGCCAAAGUUUCCAGCUAGUUAGUCCAUGCAGGCCAGUAAAUUUGGCACCACUGAUAAAGCCGUAAACUUGAUUUUUCACUUCUGUGCUUCUUUUUAACAAAGAAUAGUGGGUGGCUCCCUGUGCAAAUUCCUUAGAGAAUCAAAGUUCAUUGUGUAGCACUGCAAGGAAGGAAAAUAGUAUCAUAUAGUGUUGGAUUGGAUUGGAUUGUAUUACACUGUACUGUAUUGUAAUGUCUUUCUACAGAAUGAAUGGUUAAACCAGAAUUUCUGCAUUUCUCCAGAAUGGUGGUUAAAAUGUGCUAGCCAAAGGUUUUCUUCAUGUUUGAUUUACAUAUUGGGAAUGUUGGAGGUUUAAGACUGGUUGUAAAGAAACAAGUUUAAUUUCUCUACUUUUUUUGGUGGCAUCAAUGCUCAAAGUGUAGCAUGCUGUAUUAAAAUUAUAUGAGUACUGUUGUUUGAUUUUUUUAACUGGAGCAGUAGCUACAGGUUCCAGUCUAGCUACAUCCUUCAAAAGCAUAAAGUAAAAGUCAGAUCUGUCACAAUACCUAAAAAUGGAUCUACAUGCUUAACUGUGCAAUUGCAUUAAUGUCAGUAAUGUGUACAUUGCACAAAAAUUUAGAUAUGACCAUAACUCACUGCAAC